rnacentral:lncRNA from 1 species
GACGCCACCCCCUUUACUACAUAAUGACGCCUUUUGACGCCUUUGUAGAACCUCAAGUGAAACGCUUUGACUACAAAAUGUCUGCAUCAGACCUAAUAAAAUUUGUAUCCAAUAUGAAAAGGAUAUUCAUAAGAAUAUCUGACUUCAAUUUAUUUGAUGAAAUAUUUGUUUUUUGCAAUGCAUGAAUUCUUUAAACCUGAGGAUUUUAUUUAUAGAAAAAAAUCCUAUGCGAAUCAAGCAUGUAAAAAAAAUAUUCCAUGGAGGAAAGGGUUAAC